rnacentral:lncRNA from 1 species
GGCAUUAUAUGCCUCAGGGCCAACUCUUCCUAGAAAACCUUGUUCCUUCUUUAGGCCAUCAGUAUUUGUUUUACACAGCUUUGGGUUUUAUGAAUAGUGCUUUUUUUAAACAUUAUUUGGGUACUCUCUAGAAGUUGCCAACUUUUAUUUUGCCAAAUAAGGAUGUUAAAAGCACCACCUGCUAUCCCCAUCAUUUCAUAAAAGACAUUUUAAAACACACAAAGGACAGAACUUCAUAAUAAAGGACAGGCACUUUAAAUUGAAUACAUUUAGUGUGAAAUAUUCAGCUAUGUCUGUAUUUUCUACAUAAAAAUCCAAUAAUGUUCUUUAAAUUGAUUUAAAAACACUCAGAUUUCAUCUGGGGCAUAUAUCAGUCCCUCUGUUGGAGUUUGGGACUCAGUGGUGUAUUUAUGCCUGGGACUUUUGUCUGAAACCCUCUCUUAACGGCAGCAGAAGAGAGAGAGAAAUGACAUGCUAUACUACUAAAAUUAUUCUUGUUUUGCAAGUUGUUAAAUGAAAGCACUUCAGAAAUAUUGAAAAAAGCCUUGUAGAAUCUAGUUUAAUAAGAUGAUACAGUCUGUUAAUGAUCAGAGCAUAAAUGAAGAUGUCUUGUUCACGUGUUUCACACUACUGCUGACUUUAUACAGUCUUUAUAGGAAUGCUGCAGAUUCUUUGGUUAUUUGACCUUUGGUUUUCCACUUUUGAUGUUCUGAAGUGGUUAAUUGUGACCUUUAGCCAUGAAGCCUGAUGUUCAAACAUUGCUUUUCUGAGGAUGGAUGGGGAGAAGGGACAGGUAUGAGUUUUAAAAUUAUUUUAGAGUUUCAGAUAUUAUCUGAAAAUUUUAUAAAUAAUUUUAUUUGAAUUAAAUCCUAAAUCUAGUUUAGGUUUGAAUAAUAUAGGUAUGUGUUUCCUGUGGUUAAUACCAGUUUUUGAGAAAAGCAUGACAUAUGCUUUUAUACACUGAGUUACUGAAAGACCCUUGGAAAUGGGAUGUUAUAGACAAUUGAUUUUUAAAAAGUUCUAAAGUUAUAUGGGAGAAUGGUCCAUGCUUUGGAAAUUUCUUCUUUGAAAAUAUAUAGCUUAAACUACUUAAAUAGGAUAGCACACACCCAAAUUUCUGCAG